GUUCUGGGCUGUAGUGCGCUAUG
rnacentral:piRNA from 1 species